rnacentral:rRNA from 1 species
UAAACUCGUGCCAGCCACCGCGGUUAUACGAGAGGCUCAAGUUGACAGACAACGGCGUAAAGCGUGGUUAGGGAAACUUUAAAAACUAAAGCCGAACGUCCUCAGAGCUGUUUAACGCUUCCGAGUUAAGAAGGUCUUUAACGAAAGUAGCUUUACUAAACCUGACCCCACGAAAGCUGUGAAACAAACUGGGAUUAGAUACCCCACUAUGCUCAGCCCUAAAAUUCGAUAGGUCACUACGCCCCCUAUCCGCCCGGGUACUACGAGCAUCAGCUUAAAACCCAAAGGACUUGGCGGUGCUUCACAUCCGUCUAGAGGAGCCUGUCCUGUAACCGAUAACCCCCGUUAAACCUCACCCUCCCUUGUUAAUCCCGCCUAUAUACCGCCGUCGUCAGCCUACCCUGUGAAGGACUAGAAGUGAGCAAGAUUGGUAAGACCCAAAACGUCAGGUCGAGGUGUAGUAUAUGAGAGGGGAAGAGAUGGGCUACAUUUCCUGGAUCAGGAAAUACGAACAAUGAACUGAAAUAAGCAUUAGAAGGUGGAUUUAGCAGUAAGCAGAGAAAUAGAGUGUUCUGCUGAAAUUAAUGGCAAUAAAGCACGUACAUAUCGCCCGU